rnacentral:rRNA from 1 species
CACCUGGAAACAGAUGCUAAUACCGGAUAACAACAGAUGAUGCCUAUCAACUGUUUAAAAGAUGGUUCUGCUAUCACUCUUGGAUGGACCUGCGGUGCAUUAGCUAGUUGGUAGGGUAACGGCCUACCAAGGCGAUGAUGCAUAGCCGAGUUGAGAGACUGAUCGGCCACAGUUGGGACUGAGACACCGGACCCAAACUCCUACGGGAGGCAGCAGCC